rnacentral:rRNA from 1 species
GUCUAUAGCCACACAAUCCUGAACACACUUGAUCUCAUCUGAUCUUGCAAGCUAAGCAGGAUUGGGUCUGGUUAGUACUUGGAUGGGAUAAACCUUAAUGGACUUAAAGGACGUCAUCACA